rnacentral:rRNA from 1 species
CAUCUCAGUUCGGAUUGCAGGCUGCAACUCGCCUGCAUGAAGCUGGAAUUGCUAGUAAUCGCGGAUCAGCAAGCCGCGGUGAAUACGUUCCCGGGCCUUGUACACACCGCCCGUCACACCAUGAGAGUCGGGAACACCCGAAGUCCGUAGUCUAACCGCAAGGGGGGCGCGGCCGAAGGUGGGUCCGGUAAUUGGGGUGAAGUCGUAACAAGGUACC